GAUGAACGCUAGCUACUGGCUUAACACAUGCAAGUCGAGGGGAAACGAUAUUGGAAGCUUGCUUCCGAUAGGCGUCGACCGGCGCACGGGGGAGUAACGCGUAUCCAACCUGCCCAUCACUUGGGAAUAACCUUGCGAAAGUAAGACUAAUGCCCAAUGACAUUUAUGGAAGGCAGCCGAAAUGAAUUAAAGAUUUAUCGGUGAUGGAUGGGGAUGAGUCUGAUUAGCUUGUUGGCGGGGUAACGGCCCACCAAGGCGACGAUCAGUAGGGGUUCUGAGAGGAAGGUCCCCCACAUUGGAACUGAGACACGGUCCAAACUCCUACGGGAGGCAGCAGUGAGGGAUAUUGGUCAAUGGGCGAGAGCCUGAACCAGCCAAGUAGCGUGCAGGAUGGCGGCCCUAUGGGUUGUAAACUGCUUUUAUAAGGGAAUAAAGUGAGUCACGUGUGACUUUUUGCAUGUACCUUAUGAAUAAGGACCGGCUAAUUCCGUGCCAGCCGCCGCCGUAA
rnacentral:rRNA from 1 species